UUAGCAUCGAUUCGAGAGUAUUAUAGUAUUUCAUUACCUCCAUCAUAAUGGAGUUCCGCUGCAUAAUUGUUUUAAUAUUGGAAAGAAGAUGAUAGAUUGAAGGCUACUCCAUUGGCGGCGAUGGUGGCCAAGUCGAGGACUUGCAGUGAUGGCGGCUGGCUAGAUGGAAGGCUGCAACAACGAAAAAGAGCGAUAAAGAAAGAAGAAGUAAGAGAAAAAAAAUGAA